CUCGGUCUCCGGUAGUGGUCUUCGGGACAGCGGCCGUCGCGGCCGCAGGAAGCCCGCGGACCUCGAUCGAAGACCGGC
rfam:Microlunatus phosphovorus NM-1 DNA, complete genome.